AUGUGACGUCAGGUGCACGAGGUAUAGCCUACUACGAUAUUUCUAGUUUCAAUAUUGAACCCUGCACGACUCCAACACAGGAAUAGACCAAUUAUGACAAACGUCUAUCCUUGGAAAGACCGGAGCCCUAGGACCAUGCCUCAGGACUACCUGGCCUGACGACUUCUGGCUGUCCCCGUCCUGUCCACCUGGUCGUGCUGAUGAUCCAGUUUCUGCUGUUCUGCCUGCGGCUAUGGAACCCUGACCCGUUCACUGGACAUGCUAUCUUGUCCCAGACUUGUUUUUUCAACCCUAUGGCUCCCUCUCCAACUAAGGUUGAAGAAACAGGCGCAAGGUUUGCAGCUGGAGGAAGUAUGUAGUAAAUCUGCCAAAGCUAAAUUUGGAUGCCAUUCUUUCACUGCCCUGAUGGAGCUUAUCAGAAAAAACAACGCUUGUUUGAUGUUUCAUAAACGAUUAUCGCUCCUUUCUCUCUAAUCUGACAUUCUCCCUGACAAUUAAUGAAGAAGAGAAUACUUACUUCCUAUUCUUGAAAAGUUCAGACCGAACAUUAUUCCUUCUAUGUAUCUGUCUAGCUGCCACUGUCUUUUGAGUCGACAUGACUGUGCAAACUGCACAAAAUGACCUAAGUGUGUUUUGAUUGUCUAAAAGUAAGGAUUAACUAUACCUUUAAUUGUCUGAUGAAAGUUUAAUGAAACUACUUGCUUCAUUUCACUGUUAAAGUGUAACCAAGCCAGGAUUAUCUGUUCAAAUUGCAGGACAAAUGCUGAUAGUACAUGAAUAUGAUCAUGAUUUAUAGUUAAAAAAAUAUAAUUUACAUGCAAUUUUGCAAAAAUGAACCAGACCGU
rnacentral:lncRNA from 1 species